rnacentral:rRNA from 1 species
UACAGAGGGGGCAAGCGUUGUUCGGAAUUACUGGGCGUAAAGGGCGCGUAGGCGGCCUGCUAAGUCGAACGUGAAAUCCCUGGGCUCAACCCAGGAACUGCGUCCGAUACUGGUUGGCUUGAAUCCGGGAGAGGGAUGUGGAAUUCCAGGUGUAGCGGUGAAAUGCGUAGAUAUCAGGAGGAACACCAGUGGCGAAGGCGGCUUUCUGGACGGUAACUGACGCUGAGACGCGAAAGCGUGGGGAGCAAACAGG